rnacentral:rRNA from 1 species
UAGGGAAUCUUCCACAAUGGACGCAAGUCUGAUGGAGCAACGCCGCGUGAGUGAAGAAGGUUUUCGGAUCGUAAAGCUCUGUUGUUGGUGAAGAAGGAUAGAGGUAGUAACUGGCCUUUAUUUGACGGUAAUCAACCAGAAAGUCACGGCUAACUACGUGCCAGCAGCCGCGGUAAUACGUAGGUGGCAAGCGUUGUCCGGAUUUAUUGGGCGUAAAGCGAGCGCAGGCGGAAAAAUAAGUCUAACGUGAAAGCCCUCGGCUUAACCGAGGAACUGUAUCGGAAACUGUUUUUCUUGAGUGCAGAAGAGGAGAGUGGAACUCCAUGUGUAGCGGUGGAAUGCGUAGAUAUAUGGAAGAACACCAGUGGCGAAGGCGGCUCUCUGGUCUGCAACUGACGCUGAGGCUCGAAAGCAUGGGUAGCGAACAGGAUUAGAUACCCUGGUAGUCCAUGCCGUAAACGAUGAGUGCUAAGUGUUGGGAGGUUUCCGCCUCUCAGUGCUGCAGCUAACGCAUUAAGCACUCCGCCUGGGGAGUACGACCGCAAGGUUG